GCCUGACACUCUUUGAUAGAGAAAGAUAGUCUUAUUGCGAUUCCUAUAAGAGGAAAGAGAAAAUAGUGCAAUGCUUUGUCUUUAUCACCGACCGGGUUUUUUUUCAUGGUCGGGUUAUGGCAGCUUAGGAAGGAGGCUGAUGGCGAUAUACAGAAAUUUAUAAGAGUGAAAGAGACAAAAUCCCGCAAGAUGCCAUACAUUAAACUGUCAAUCAUAUUGUCAAGAGUGCUAGUAAACAAUGUGGUUUUCUUAUUGUAGAAGAUUUAUAAAGUGAAUGAUUGUGUUUAUUAAGUAUUUAAUGGAGGUGUAAGAUGUUUUUACGUACAAUUAACAUGGUGGGGUGUUCAGUGGUUGCCUACAAAAGCAAUAGCUUGCGAAAAUAAGCGGGUGUAACAUUUCAUGCCUUUCCGACGGAGGAUGAAAUUGUUAAAGAAUGGAUUGCGGGAACUGGAAAAUCAAAUUGGAUGCCUCACAAAUACUCGCGUAUUUGUUCCAAACAUUUUGAACAACAUUGUGUCCGCAAACUGGGCAAACGAACUUUCAUCGAAAAGUUUUCUUUUCCAACCUUGUUCAUACACGAGAGGAGAGAGAAAAUUCUUUUCUUCAUCAUGUCAUGGAAAUCGUCCAUUCGUGCACGUCGUCGUCGUGGCAGUCUCAACAGCAUUCUGAAGCUAUUAUUGAACUUCAUAUAAUUGAUCCACAGGUUACAAGUGUAUGUGUAAAUAAAGUUUUCUUGACCCCCACAGUAUGUACAACGCGCAACACGUAAGAUUUUUUAUUUAAACAUAAAUAUUCGGUUUUAAGUAACAGUUU